AGGCCUAACAAUGCAAGUCGAGCGCGCCUUCGGGUGAGCGGCGGACGGGUUAGUAACGCGUGGGAACGUGCCCUUCUCUACGGAAUAGCCUCUGGAAACGGAGAGUAAUACCGUAUACGCCCUUUGGGGGAAAGAUUUAUCGGAGAAGGAUCGGCCCGCGUUAGAUUAGGUAGUUGGUGGGGUAACGGCCUACCAAGCCUACGAUCUAUAGCUGGUUUUAGAGGAUGAUCAGCAACACUGGGACUGAGACACGGCCCAGACUCCUACGGGAGGCAGCAGUGGGGAAUCUUAGACAAUGGGGGCAACCCUGAUCUAGCCAUGCCGCGUGAGUGAUGAAGGCCUUAGGGUCGUAAAGCUCUUUCGCCUGUGAUGAUAAUGACAGUAGCAGGUAAAGAAACCCCGGCUAAC
rnacentral:rRNA from 1 species